UGACAUUUCAAUUAAACUGUGUAUUAGUUUACUAUGAACGUCGAGUUAAUCAAGUACAUAAGUGUUGAAAACCGUCACGCUAAAUGCCUAAGAAUCCCGAAUAAAAAGUAAUAAAUCGCCAUCAAAGGGACGUGUUGGUAGUUAUUCUAUAUAUUGAGGAUUUUGUCAAAUCAUUGAAGUCGUCUGUCAUUGCAGUUAAAAGAACUGAUUUGAAGAUAUAUACCUUGGAUACGUAAAUGUUUGAACUGAGGCGGUUGACCUUCAUCGCCGAACAAGUUCCGAAAAUGAAGAUCGCGAGAAGGAAUAUACAGAGAAAAAUUUGCCCCCAGUAGCAGUAUUUGAUCCUGUAACGAAUUUAGUGUUAGAUUCUAAAAGGAUAAGCGUGGAGUUUUGUUUAAUUAAGAGGAAAAUUAAGCACGAUAUUUCAAUCUUUCGUAACAGUUUCCGAGUUUUAAACUUAUUUCUGUGGUGCAUGAUAAUUUAAAAGGAAAAAGUUGUGAGAAACUUUUCUUGGUGUCUAAAGUUAAUAUACCGAAAGAUACAGAAUUGGUUUUGGACUAUGGAUAGACCUUGAGAGAUAGGAUUCUAGGAAACCCUUGAAUGACCGGAUAACUCUGUCGCUUCUAAAUUAAAUGUAAAAUGUCAAUUAUCAAUUGAGGCUAUAAAUUGUACAUGUACAGUGACAAAUGAUAACAGUGUGAAUGUGAAAAAUUGUGAGCUCUGCACAUCGUCCUCAAGCAAUUUUCGUGCUAAUGGCAGAAUAAAGUAAUUAAAAUAGCUGCCAAGGGGGAAAUCAUCAGAAAUUUAUGUAAAGAGGAACCUCCUAAAAGAAAAGACAAUUCUGAAACAAAAUCAACUAAUGUACAAAAGAUUGAUGAAACUCAUCAACAAAGGACAAACAACACAAAAACCUCUUAUGUUGUCCCGAAAAUACGUCAGAUCAAGCACAGAAAUUUACUAAAGGCGAAUUUUCAAAAUUAAUGCUGGAUAGAAGCAAUAUGCAUCUCGAUAUUUUGAAAUAUAUUCAAAAUUGUUCAACUACAUUAAAUUAAUGCCAAAAGUAGGAGACCCCGCGAAUAGUUGUGAGGACUAUGCUGAUAAAACUAGGAAUUUUACUUAGGAGCAAAGAUCAUCAAUCCUAAAAUAUUUAUGUGACAAUGUUCAUCCAAUCACCUUGC